rnacentral:lncRNA from 1 species
AAGGAAAAAGUUUUCACCAUUCUGUCGUACUAUUUUAUCUAAAAGUUGUCACCUUCAUCAUAUUAUUUCACUUAAAAUGUUACCACUCUUCACAUGUUGUUUUACUUGAAAGGUCUUUCAACAUGUCACUUCAUCUAAAAGGGCACUUUUCACAUGUCGUUUUAUCUAAAAAACUUUUUCACAUGUUAUUUCAUCUAAAAGGUUACCACUUUUCACAUGUCACUUUAUCUAAAAGUUAUCAUUUUGUUAUGUCAUUUUAUCUAAUAGUUAUCACUUUUUAUUAUACCACCUCAUUUAAAAAAUUUCCAACUUUUCUCAUGCCUCUUCAUGCUUAUUCCAGCUCCUUCAUCCUUAUCUAUCCUUUUUUCAAUUGACUUGACACUACGUCCUUAACCUAACUAUAUAGUUUCAAACACAUGCAAAGUUAGAUUAAAUGUAUCAAAUAUAUGAAAUUAACUCAGACGUAUUUUGAAACUAUUACAAAAUUAAUAUUUAUAAAUAAUCAU